UACGGAGGGUGCGAGCGUUGUCCGGAAUCACUGGGCGUAAAGAGCUUGUAGGCGGUUUGUCGCGUCUGCUGUGAAAUUUCGGGGCUCAACCCCGAACUUGCAGUGGGUACGGGCAGACUAGAGUGUGGUAGGGGAGACUGGAAUUCCUGGUGUAGCGGUGAAAUGCGCAGAUAUCAGGAGGAACACCGAUGGCGAAGGCAGGUCUCUGGGCCAUAACUGACGCUGAGAAGCGAAAGCAUGGGGAGCGAACAGG
rnacentral:rRNA from 1 species